rnacentral:rRNA from 1 species
GACGAACGCUGGCGGCGUGCUUAACACAUGCAAGUCGAACGGAAAGGCCCUGCUUUUGUGGGGUGCUCGAGUGGCGAACGGGUGAGUAACACGUGAGUAACCUGCCCUUGACUUUGGGAUAACUUCGGGAAACUGGGGCUAAUACCGGAUAGGAGCUCCUGCUGCAUGGUGGGGGUUGGAAAGUUUCGGCGGUUGGGGAUGGACUCGCGGCUUAUCAGCUUGUUGGUGGGGUAGUGGCUUACCAAGGCUUUGACGGGUAGCCGGCCUGAGAGGGUGACCGGCCACCUUGGGACUGCGAUACGGCCCAGACUCCUACGGGCGGCAGCAGUGGGGAAUAUUGCACAAUGGGCGGACGCCUGAUGCAGCAACGCCGCGUGCGGGAUGACGGCCUUCGGGUUGUAAACCGCUUUCGCCUGUGCCGAAGCGUGAGUGACGGUAAUGGGUAAAGAAGCACCGGCUAACUACGUG